AUUUCGAUUAUAGUGGCUAAUGACGUUACAUAAUUAUUGUUGAUUACAUUAAUUAACAAUAUAAACAUUAUCCUGACUGAAGUUAGUCAAAUAAUUAUCACUUAUUUACUGAGACGGAGGAAAACAGUGUGUUUUGUGGACCCGACGACGACGGUCGAGGGUCCACAAAACACACUGCUUCCCACCGUCUCAGUAAAUAAGUGUUCCAUUAUAUAUCAAUAGUCAAAGAAACAACAAAGUUUAAAUUACUAGGUAUGUCCGAAGGUCGCAUCUUUACGUGAUGACGCACGUGAUUUUUUUUCGUUAUUCGCCGGUCGACAACGUAUUGUUUCCCUCUCGCGUUGUUGCGAGGGAGACAGUCUAAUUUCGUCACUUUCACGUGAUAUGCUCUCGACCAAUAAAACACUAGAAAAAUGCGACUUUGACUAUUGGUAUAUAAUAAUGUCAGUUAUAGCAGAUAAAUUAAGAUAAACAUCAUUUAUAUAAUGAUAUAUUGACACUACAAUAACACUAAAGCCACUUCUCAGAGGAAUCGAUAUCCCAUAGCGCUGAUGAGUAAAUGUCUUGCGCUCGAUAAAAAUGCUUUUAAAUAUUGUUCAUCAAUCAAAUGGCAAAGAUUGUGAAACUGACGAAAAAUACCGUCGACUUUUUGGACCACUCGACCUAAAAAUGGAAGAGAUGUCUGAUAUAUCCAGCCUGCUAACGAUGUUUUCCUUUUCAUUAGGGAACUUAAGCAUAUAGGACGGCAACACGACGACGACGGCAACCAAUACAAUGAGUCAAUGAAAAGAAAUAAAUAAUCAAAGUCCCAGAGGAGUUUCAGACGUGGUCAUCGUUCUGUUUACAACGGCGAAUCGCAGAUUUUCACGUCUUUUAUACAACGCCUACAUUUCAAGCCAUAACAAGUGCAACUUAAAAUUCGGUCAGUAGAACUCUCCCCAAACAUAAAGCCAAUGUUUUCAGCUUCUUAUACUGUAUUAAAUUCAUACAAAUUAUAAUAUACGACAAGUUUUCUUUACUAUCAUUUAUUUGAAGGAAUUUGUUUUGGCCGUCGUCGUCGUGUUGCCGUCCUACAUGCUUAAGCUCGCUAAUAUUAUUGAGCACAAUACAUUUCAUGUUACGUAUACAGUUCAUGACUGGGUUACAUGAACC